rnacentral:rRNA from 1 species
UGGGGAAUCUUGCGCAAUGGGGGAAACCCUGACGCAGCAACGCCGCGUGGGUGAUGAAGGCCUUCGGGUCGUAAAGCCCUGUCAGGUGGGAAGAAACUUGUGGAUGUUAAUACCGUCCACACUUGACGGUACCACCGGAGGAAGCACCGGCUAACUCCGUGCCAGCAGCCGUGGUAAUACGGAGGGUGCAAGCGUUGUUCGGAAUUAUUGGGCGUAAAGCGCGUGUAGGUGGUCAGGUAAGUCAGAUGUGAAAGCCUUCUGCUUAACAGAAGAAGUGCAUUUGAAACUGCUUGGCUAGAGUACGGGAGAGGAGAGUGGAAUUCCCGGUGUAGAGGUGAAAUUCGUAGAUAUCGGGAGGAACACCAGUGGCGAAGGCGGCUCUCUGGUCCGAUACUGACGCUGAGACGCGAAAGCGUGGGGAGCAAACAGGAUUAGAUACCCUGGUAGUCCACGCCGUAAACGAUGGGCACUAGGCGUAGGAGGUAUUGACCCCUUCUGUGCCGAAGCUAACGCAUUAAGUGCCCCGCCUGGGGAGUACGGCCGCAAGGCUA